GGGAGGUGACGCCGGGAGGUCCCGGCUGAGAGCGCCGGCUGCCGGCUGGGGACAUGGCAUCUAACUACCAUACAAGUUCAGACCAAUGGAAGAAAAGAGCAGCAAAAAUUGAACUGAAUGAAUCCCAAAAGCAAGAAAUUAAAGACGCCUUUAAUUUAUUUGAUAUUGAUGGGUCUGGAACCAUCGAUAUAAAAGAAGGAAAUGCUUGAUGAAGCUGAUCGUGAUGGAGAUGGAGAAAUAAACGAGGAAGAUUUUUUGAGAGUGAUGAAAAAGACUACUCGUUAUUAAUAGCGUUGUUUUAGUCCUUGUGGAAAAUUAACAAAUUUGUAUUUGUUAUGCAGUUUUAUAAUUUAAUAUCUGAAUGUAUUCAUUUUCAGUUUUUAGUUUAUAUGUACACAUUGGCUUCUUGAUGUCUAAUCCAUGUAAGAAGUUACACAUCUCUACCAAUAUGAUGUUAAAUCUACAGCAUCAAGAAACAAAACAUAAUGACUUCUUUGAGCCAUUAAUCCAAGAACAGUAUUGAUUCUAGCUGCUCUUUUGAGAACCUUAGGUCACAAAGACUUAGAAUUUUAAAGUUUGAUGAAGUUGGCUUCACAUCCAAAUGAAUUUGGCAAACAAAACUUAUAUUUUCCUUUCGUGCAACCCAAAAAAACCUGAUAAACAUUUGCUUUUUAGUCAGUUACUCAAAUACAUAAAGUAUUAAAUAGAACUGUCUGGAAACAUUAUUUGCUAAUUUUCUUCUUUUAGUUAUAAAGAAAAUUCAAAAUAGCACUUACAUCACCCAUAUUUCCCUGUAAGUUUGACCCUAUAGUGAGCACUUAAUACCUCUGUGCUAGGACAGGUGGUGUAGAGUUUUAUUUUUAAAAAAAUUUAUUUAUAUAUUUUUUGAGACAAAAUCUCCCUCUGUCACCCAGGCUGGAGUGCAGUGGUGCUAUCUCGGCUCAAUGCAACUUCUGCCUCCUGGGCUCAAGAGAUUCUCCUGCCUCAGCCUCCCGAGUAGCUGGGACUACAGGUACCUGCCACCAUGCCUAGCUAAUUUUUUGCAUUUUUAGUAGAGACGGAGUUUCACUGUGUUAGCCAUGAUGGUCUCGAUCUCCUGACCUCGUGAUCUGCCUACCUCAGCCUCCCAAACUGCUGGGAUUACAGGGGUGAGCCACCAUGCCUGGCCGAGAUUUUAUGUGUUAACUUCAGUAAACAUAUUACAAGUUGGAAGCUGAUUGUAUUAGCUCCAUUUUACAUACAAGAAAACUAAA
rnacentral:sRNA from 1 species